rnacentral:lncRNA from 1 species
CUUUUACAAGCCAAGCAGGAAGAGACGCAGGGAGCGAGCGAGGGUAGAAAAGGAAGAAAAGAGGAGAAAAAAAAGAAGUAAGAAAGACAUCUGAGCUCUUUUCUCUCCCUGUCUCUGCCUCUCCGUCUGUCUUUUCUUCUCUUCUCUUUCUUGGCCUUGUUAAAGCCAUACUGUACUCGCCUGCCUUUGUUGGCAGGGGGUAAAUGUAGGGCUUGAGGACAGGAUGGGAGGGGUGUAGAUGGAGGGGAGGGCGGACGUUGGGUUCAGAGAGUUCAGCUGAGGAGAGAAAUAAAUUCAUAAACAACAAAGGAGUCGUGACGUCAGUGUGAGGGGCCGUCCAACCUGCUGGCUGAAUCUGAGCCGCCAUGGAAGAACCGGAUUGUUCGCACUGUAUGUUCCAGUGUGUGUGUGUGUGUGUGUGUGUGUGUGUGUGUGUGUGUGUGUCUGUGUACAGUUUAAAUGUGCACAUCCAUUCCCCUGUCUUUGAGAAAAGACUUGUGGAGUCGAAAAAGAGAGUUGCUUUGUUUCUAUGACGUCCCUCUGUCACCCGUGUACGAAGAGACGCACUCACGCCAGGAGGAGGGGAUUGUGGGAAGGGGGUGUCGCUCUGAGAGGGUGUGCUCUACUCCUCUUUUCCAUUCUUCCCGCCAUCACUGCCCUCUUCUCCUUCAGUCCUCGGGCCCGGGGGCCGCCGCUCACAUACAGACUGCAGGAAAGUUACCUUUGUGGAUCAUUGGAGCGAACAACGUAGAUGCUGUCCUUGGGGCUGAGGAGACAGCUGAGCCAGCUGAUCAACGACAGCCUCAAAUUACACAUGAAGUCAAACGGCCGUAUGCAGAUGAUGAAAAGAUGAUGACGUGUUUGACCCGGGCUCUGGCAGGAUGAGGUAGUAGGUUGUAUAGUUUGGUGGGUGGGAUUUGAACCCUGCUCAGGUGAUAACUAUACAGUCUAUUGCCUUCCCUGAGGAGGUCACUGCACAGCCGUUUUCACGUCUCAACAUACAGUAUAGAAAAAGUAGAAGCAGAAUACAUGUAUUUUAAAUUCUUUGCCUUUUCACGUGUGGUUGAUUUUGAUUUGACAAAAUAUGUAAGAUAAUUUGCUUUAAAUAGAAAACAUAGAAAUAAACACUGAAAAAAUGUUUUCCUGUAAUAAAAA